GACUGCAGAAAACGUGACUUUUAUAGAGUCAGUGGGGAAUAUUAACUUGUAAAGUCCAUGAAAACCGAUACCUGCUGGACAACAAAGUGUUUUGGUUGGUUGCAGCAUCGUAAACCUAAAAGCAGAAGAGUGAGGCGUGUGUGAUUCGUGUAAAGUAUGCGGCGCAUGCGCAUACCUGAAUUAUCCGACAGCUAGCUCCGUUGUUGCGAGUCCACCGUAGUUACACACACACACGCACUACCUAGCGUUAGCAACAAGACCCACAGCAGCAUCACAGAGUCUGUAAGGUUAACUCGGAGUAUUCACAGGUGCUGGUGUAGGAGUGCGCCGGCGGGGAAACGGAUCCGCAAUGCUGAACCCGACCAAUGGUGACCCACACUGAAAAAAAGGGACUGGCCAUCUCUUGGAUUUAUGUGAAGUAAGUCAAUAAGAUAGCAACGUUAAAUCUCGUGAAACCACGCGUGAUUUCAUCUCGCGGGCUUUGGAUUGUGGUUCAAAAAAGGCAUCCAUCUCAGUCAAGUCGAGCAGCCAACUCUACGUUUUUGGAGUCAGCUGAUGGAUUGUGGGUUCAAGGUGUUAUGAUAAAAUGCAGCAUUCCAGUGCAUCCCAACCAUGCCUUUACAGUCAAGGUUUCUGACGGAGCUGAGUUUCUCUCUGACAGUCUGCUGAAAGUGUUUGCAAAGUGAUCGGGGGAACAGUGCACAAAGCUAAAGGAUGUAGCUGCCAUGAUGACAGAUGACAUUAAUGCUCAAAGGGGGUCUCAUCAAAGUGCUCCGCAUCUGUGUGAAAGACAAUUGCAACAUCUUGGUGCAGGAGUUCAUGGACUUGACUGAGGCCACUGCACAGAUUGAGAAAACCACAAUGAACAUCUGUCUCCAGAGAUGCGCC
ensembl:lncRNA